rnacentral:rRNA from 1 species
GAGUAAUAUAUCGGAACGUGCCCAAGAGUGGGGGAUAACGUAGCGAAAGUUACGCUAAUACCGCAUACGAUCUAAGGAUGAAAGCAGGGGACCGCAAGGCCUUGUGCUCCUGGAGCGGCCGAUAUCUGAUUAGCUAGUUGGUGAGGUAAAGGCUCACCAAGGCGACGAUCAGUAGCUGGUCUGAGAGGACGACCAGCCACACUGGAACUGAGACACGGUCCAGACUCCUACGGGAGGCAGCAGUGGGGAAUUUUGGACAAUGGGGGCAACCCUGAUCCAGCAAUGCCGCGUGAGUGAAGAAGGCCUUCGGGUUGUAAAGCUCUUUUGUCAGGGAAGAAAAGGUCGUGGCUAAUAUCCACGGCUCAUGACGGUACCUGAAGAAUAAGCACCGGCUAACUACGUGCCAGCAGCCGCGGUAAUACGUAGGGUGCAAGCGUUAAUCGGAAUUACUGGGCGUAAAGCGUGCGCAGGCGGUUUUGUAAGUCUGACGUGAAAUCCCCGGGCUUAACCUGGGAAUGGCGUUGGAGACUGCAAGGCUGGAAUCUGGCAGAGGGGGGUAGAAUUCCACGUGUAGCAGUGAAAUGCGUAGAGAUGUGGAGGAACACCGAUGGCGAAGGCAGCCCCCUGGGCUAAGAUUGACGCUCAUGCACGAAAGCGUGGGGAGCAAACAGGAUUAGAUACCCUGGUAGUCCACGCCCUAAACGAUGUCUACUAGUUGUUGGGGAUUAAU